rnacentral:tRNA from 2 species
GGGCCUGUAGCGUAGUUGGUAGCGCGUCCCCAUGGCAUGGGGAAGGUCAGGGGUUCGAGUCCCCUCAGGUCCACAA